GUCAGGAUGGCCGAGUGGUCUAAGGCUUGAGGUUUCCAGCCUCUGAUUAGAGGUGUGGGUUCAAAUCCCACUUCUGACA